rnacentral:rRNA from 1 species
AGCGAACGCUGGCGGCAGGCCUAACACAUGCAAGUCGAACGAAGUCUUCGGACUUAGUGGCGGACGGGUGAGUAACACGUGGGAACGUACCUUUAGGUUCGGAACAACUCAGGGAAACUUGAGCUAAUACCGGAUAAGCCCUUCGGGGGAAAGAUUUAUCGCCUUUAGAGCGGCCCGCGUUAGAUUAGCUAGUUGGUGAGGUAAAGGCUCACCAAGGCUACGAUCUAUAGCUGGUCUGAGAGGAUGAUCAGCCACACUGGGACUGAGACACGGCCCAGACUCCUACGGGAGGCAGCAGUGGGGAAUCUUGCGCAAUGGGCGAAAGCCUGACGCAGCCAUGCCGCGUGAAUGAUGAAGGUCUUAGGAUUGUAAAAUUCUUUUACCAGGGACGAUAAUGACGGUACCUGGAGAAAAAGCCCCGGCUAACUUCGUGCCAGCCGCCGCCGUAA